UCAACAUGCAAUUAUUAGUAAAGGUUCCUAUAUUUAAUGUGAUUUAUAACUAUAUGGUAUGUAUAUGUCAGUGAAACAGCAACGAUACAACACAAAGAAAACUGGUAUCUUUUUCUCUGUAGGAAAGUGUCUUUCUUUAACAUACCUUAAACCCUAAGACGAUCUGAAUCUAGACCAGUUUUGACUAAAAAAGACUUGCCGCCA
rnacentral:lncRNA from 1 species